UGCAUGGUGGCACAGUUGGUAGUACUGCUGCCUUGCAGCAAGGCGGCAGUACUGGUACUACCUGGGUCCUGGGUUCAAUUCCCAGCCAGGGAU